GUUCCGGAGAGGCAGUAAGGUGCCAACAAGAGGGACCGAGCUAGUCAUGGCCACGACUGCUGUGACCCCAGCCUGUGCCACUCUCUCAGGCAUUUUCGACAACCUCAGCUCCUGGCCUCAAAAGGAGCAUGUACCUUCCUCUCUCCAAUCUGACGUGUCUACACCUAAGAGAUUCAGCUGCACUUGGAUAUGCUUACAGCAAGCUCCCUGGGGA